rnacentral:rRNA from 1 species
AAUUCUAGCCCAAAUACACUACUAACAAAACUAUUUUCAUAUGUUAAAACAAAACAUUUACACCACUAAAGUAUAGGCGAUAGAAAUUUUAUUAGGCGCUAUAGAGAAAGUACCGCACGGGAAAGAUGAAAGAAUAAUUAAAAGUAUAAAAUAGCAUAGAUNNNNNNNNGUACCUUUUGCAUCAUGAGCUAACUAGAACUCCCUUUGCAAAAAGAGUUUAAGCAAAGACCCCCGAAACCAAACGAGCUACUUUUAGACAGCUAAAUUGAGCCAACCCGUCUAUGUGGCAAAAUAGUGGGAAGAUCUGAAAGUAGAGGUGAAAAGCCAACCGAGCUUGGUGAUAGCUGGUUGUCCAAACAAGAAUUUUAGUUCAACUGUAAGUCCACCCUAAAAAACCUCAACUUUCAAUGGUUACUUACAAGUUAAUCUAAAGAGGGACAGCUCUUUAGAGCAAAGGGUACAACCUUGUGUAGAGAGUAAGUUUAUAAAAAUAUCAUAGUUGGCUUAAAAGCAGCCAUCAAUUAAGAAAGCGUUCAAGCUCAACAAAAACUUCGCAUAACUAAUCCCGCGAAUAAAAAACCAACUCCUACUCCUCCAUUGGACUAUUCUAUAAAAACAUAGAAGCAAUAAUGUUAGUAUUAGUAACAAGAAAAAAUUCUCCGUGCACAAACUUAUAUCAGACCGAAUACUCACUGAUAGUUAACAACUUGAUAAAGAAAAUUAACAAAUUAGUACCUUUAUCACAACCAUUGUUAAUCCGACACAGGGGUGCAAUAAGGAAAGACUAAAAGAAACAGAAGGAACUCGGCAAC